AAGACAUAUAAUGGAAUGUCAAUAUAUAUAGAUGACAUAAGGAUCUACAUAUUACAGUACUUUCAAGUAUACUUUGGCAUAUACAUACCAAGGAAUUCAAUAGUUUGCAUUGUUCUGCUUCAAAAUGCCCCAGACAGAGAAACAAGAGAACCAACCCCCUCCAGGAUACCCAACUGGAAAUUCUCCAACCGGGAAGAUGAGCCGGCCGUACACGAGGAAGAAAGGAGAGAAGGGCUUCAUUGAGGGUUGCCUCUUUGCUCUGUGUUGCUGUUGGCUCUGUGAAUCUUGCUUCUGAAACAUGGAUCUGCAUCAGGGACCAUUCUAUGUUUGAUCUUCAUUUAUUAUUAUAUUCUGACAUCAUGUAAUUGGCUGUAAAAUUAAUCUUAUGUGUGAGAGAUCCACUAGUUAUGAGUUAAUAAAGUUGUUUUAGUUUGCCUAAAUAGCUGA